GAUUAAGCCAUGCAUGUGUAAGUAUAAAUAGUUAACUUUGAAACUGAGAAUGGCUCAUUAUAUCAGUUAUAGUUUAUUUGAUGAAGAAUACUAAUUGGAUAACCGUAGUAAUUCUAGAGCUAAUACAUGUAUAAAGUCUUGUAGACUGCAUUUAUUAGAAUGAAAACCAUAGGUUUCGGCCUAUUCGUGAGUAAUAAUAACUAAUCAUAUGCGUAUGCUUAUGUAACGAUGUGUCUUUCAAGUUUCUGCCCUAUCAGCUUUCGAUGGUAGUG
rnacentral:rRNA from 1 species